GACUAGUAAUGUACCUCAAGAGCUCUGUUCUUGGCAAAAGCUUCAGGAUCAGCAGAUAAACCAGCAGUGUCCCAUCCAUAAUCACCAGGGAAUUCUCCGGUCAAGUAUGAAGGAGUUUGAGCAGAAAAGGGUCCUAAGUACUUGACACGAUCUGGUCCAUACCAUAAAUCAUUUCCCUAACCAUAUCAAACGAAAAAGAGCAAGACAACAUUCCGUCAGAAUAUACAAACAGAAUUCAGGAGGGGAAGGGCUAUAUAGUGUGUAUUUUAUUAAUUAGUUUGCUCCGUUUAAAUAGCUCUGAGUAUGCUAUAAAGUUAGAGCAAAAUCUAGGUGCUUUUGUGCUGCUUCUUUUUGGAUGUGGAUUCCCUUGUAUUAUUAUACCUAGGUAUAUUGUGUAAGCCAGGGAUAAAUCUAAUGUAUCAUCUAGUAAUUGACUCUAAUAAUUCUAACUGUACCUAUUAUACUUAAUACGUACAGUUUGGCUCUAGUUUUAAGUGAUCAAUAUGAACAAGAGCUAGUAUGAGUGUUUAAGCGAAAAAAAUAGACAAGUUUAAGAGGCUGCUUAUGUAUUUGGCCUAUGUCUUUCAUGGCUAUAGAGGACAAAGCAUGUUUCUUUUCUCCUUACUUUGUACUCUUUUUAUCAAUUUAAGAUUUUAACUAGGUGGUUUCUGUAAAAAUAAAAAGAAUUUUUAAGUUAUAUAUGCUCGCAAUAUAAAACUUUUGAUAUCAUUAGUAAACUUAACUAGUGAUAACAUGUUACUACUAUUUUAUCACGUAUUAAUAUUGUGUAUAUCAUUAGUGCAUAAAAAGUUAAACUCAGAUAAAAUCUUAAAACAGGGAAGAGAAGGGGGCAAUGGGGAUGGAUGAGAAUAUAUACCAUGGUAAAUUUGGCAGAGCCCAUGGGAACAACAUCUCUAAGAGGGUUAGCAUUCUUGGUUUGACCCAAAAAUGGGGUUGCUCUAACAACUGUGGUGGAGCUUGCUGUUGCUGCCAUUGAUGCCAUUUUCUCU
rnacentral:lncRNA from 1 species